UCGUCUAUAUACGUAUAGCAUAUCAAUAAGCGGAGGAAAAGAAACUAACAAGGAUUCCCUUAGUAACGGCGAGUGAAGCGGGAAGAGCUCAAAUUUGAAAUCUUCAAGGUUCUACCUUGACGAAUUGUAGUUUAUAGAAGUGUUUUCUGUUAGUGGAGUGGCAAAAGUUCUUUGGAAUAGGACAUCAUAGAGGGUGAGAAUCCCGUAUUUGGUCAUUCCUCCUAGCGUUGUGAUACACUUUCAACGAGUCGGAUUGUUUGGGAAUGCAGUCCAAAAUGGGUGGUAAAUUUCAUCUAAAGCUAAAUACUGGCGAGAGACCGAUAGCGAACAAGUACCGUGAGGGAAAGAUGAAAAGAACUUUGAAAAGAGAGUUAAACAGUACGUGAAAUUGUCAAAAGGGAAGCGUUUGACACCAGUGUUGUUUUCUCGAAAAUCAAUUAAAAAAGGCUGGAUUUUGUGUUGUAUUGACUUUAUCAGCUUUCUGCACUUUUUUCUUGUCUUUUUUAAUGCACUUUUCGUUUAACAAGUCAACAUCAAUUUCUUUUGUUGUAAAAGGGUCAUUGGAAGGUGGCUUUCUUUUCGGAGAAAGUGUUUAUAGCCUUUGGCCUCUGCAAUCGGAGAGAUUGAGGUCUGCAGCGUAGAUCCUUCGGGGUUAGAUACGUUUGUGCUAAGUUAUAGCCUUUCAUAGACAACUUGUUGACUAUGAUCAGUCAUGUAGCUUACUCGCUUAUGCUAUUUUACCUACGCUUAGGAUGUUGACUGAUAUGUAGUCGUA
rnacentral:rRNA from 1 species